ACGACCUUACUUGAACAGGAUCUGUUCUAUAGGAAGUACCUCUGUGUCUUUGAUUUUUAAAGAGACAUGCCCUAUUAUCCUGGUUGAUGAAUAAUGGCCGUGCGAUCUGAGUGUGAUUGACGGUUACGAUUGUCUUCGGACGGUUGUCUGAUAGGUU
rnacentral:snoRNA from 2 species